rnacentral:rRNA from 1 species
GGUCGUAACAAGGUUUCCGUAGGUGAACCUGCGGAAGGAUCAUUAUUGAAUGAACUUGGUGUGGUUGUUGCUGGUCCUUUCGGGGGCAUGUGCACGCCCACCAUCCUCAUCUCUCCACCUGUGCACCUCUUGUAGACUUGGAUUGACUUUCCGAGGCAACUCGGUCGGGAGGAUUGCUGGCAUCAGCUGGCUUUCUUUGCAUUUCCGGGUCUACGUUUUUCAUAUACCCCAAUGUAUGUAACAGAAUGUAAUAUUGGGCCCUUGUGCCUAUAAACCUUAUACAACUUUCAGCAACGGAUCUCUUGGCUCUCGCAUCGAUGAAGAACGCAGCGAAAUGCGAUAAGUAAUGUGAAUUGCAGAAUUCAGUGAAUCAUCGAAUCUUUGAACGCACCUUGCGCUCCUUGGUAUUCCGAGGAGCAUGCCUGUUUGAGUGUCAUUAAAUUCUCAACCUUUAUCACUUUUUGCUGAUAAUGGCUUGGAUAUGGGGGUCUAUUUUGCUGGCUUCUUUACGGAUGGUCAGCUCCCCUUAAAUGCAUUAGCCGGUGCCCCGCGUGGACUGUCUAUUGGUGUGAUAAUUAUCUACGCCGUGGACAUCUGCAAUCAUAUGGGUUUG